GACGAACGCUGGCGGCGUGCUUAACACAUGCCAGUCGAACGAUGAAGAAAAGAAUCGAAGCUUCGGCAGAAAUUCAUUUCGGAUUAGUGGCAGACGGGUGAGUAACGCGUGAGCAACCUACCUCUUACAAAGGGAUAGCCUCGGGAAACCGGGAUUAAUACCAUAUAACAUUGUGACGAAGCAUUUCGAUGCAAUCAAAGCUACGGCGGUAAGAGAUGGGCUCGCGUCCCAUUAACCGGAUGGUGAGGUAACGGCUCACCAUAGUGACGAUGGGUAACCGGCCUGAGAGGGUGAACGGUCACACUGGAACUGAGACACGGUCCAGACUCCUACGGGAGGCAGCAGUGGGGAAUAUUGCACAAUGGAGGGAACUCUGAUGCAGCGACGCCGCGUGAGUGAUGAAGGAAUUCGUUUCGUAAAACUCUGUUCUAUGGGAAGAAAAGGACUGUACCAUAGGAGAAAGCUCCGGCUAAAUACGUG
rnacentral:rRNA from 1 species